rnacentral:tRNA from 1 species
UGGGCAGUAGCUCAGUAGUAGAGCUCCUCUUUGUAUGCGGGAAGGCCUGGGUUCGAUUCCCGGCUGCUUAC